GACGAACGCUGGCGGCGUGCUUAACACAUGCAAGUCGAACGGUAAGGCCCUUCGGGGUACACGAGUGGCGAACGGGUGAGUAACACGUGGGUGAUCUGCCCUGCACUUCGGGAUAAGCCUGGGAAACUGGGUCUAAUACCGGAUAGGACCACUGCCUGCAUGGGUGGUGGUGGAAAGCUUUUGCGGUGUGGGAUGGGCCCGCGGCCUAGCAGCUUGUUGGUGGGGUGAUGGCCUACCAAGGCGACGACGGGUAGCCGGCCCGAGAGGGUGACCGGCCACACUGGGACUGAGAUACGGCCCAGACUCCUACGGGAGGCAGCAGUGGGGAAUAUUGCACAAUGGGCGCAAGCCUGAUGCAGCGACGCCGCGUGAGGGAUGACGGCCUUCGGGUUGUAAACCUCUUUCAGCACCGACGAAGCGCAAGUGACGGUAGGUGCAGAAGAAGGACCGGCCAACUACGUGCCAGCCGCCGCCGUAA
rnacentral:rRNA from 1 species